AUUGAACGCUGGCAGCAGGCUUAACACAUGCAAGUCGAGCGGGGGAAGGUAGCUUGCUACCGGACCUAGCGGCGGACGGGUGAGUAAUGCUUAGGAAUCUGCCUAUUAGUGGGGGACAACAUCUCGAAAGGGAUGCUAAUACCGCAUACGUCCUACGGGAGAAAGCAGGGGAUCUUCGGACCUUGCGCUAAUAGAUGAGCCUAAGUCGGAUUAGCUAGUUGGUGGGGUAAAGGCCUACCACGGCGACGAUCUGUAGCGGGUCUGAGAGGAUGAUCCGCCACACUGGGACUGAGACACGGCCCAGAAUCCUACGGGGGGCAGACGUGGGGAAGAUUGGACAAUGGGGGGAACCCUGAUCCAGCCAUGCCGGGUGUGGGAAGAAGGCCUUAUGGUUGUAAAGCACUUUAAGCGAGGAGGAGGCUACUCUAGUUAAUACCUAGGGAUAGUGGACGUUACUCGCACAAUAAGCACCGGCUAACACUGUGCCAGCAGCCGCCGUAA
rnacentral:rRNA from 1 species